CCUCAAGAUGGAGAUGCCCUAAUACUGAGAAGUCCCAUCUUGGAGAGAAGAGAGUGAAACAUUACGGUCCCUAAUGGUUUGGUGAAGAGAUCUGCUAAUUGAAGGCAUGAAGGGACAUGCAAAGUGGAAAUAAAUCCUUUUGUGAGUUGAUCACGUACAACGUGACAAUCGAUUUCUAAAUGCUUCGUUCGUUCAUGAAAAACAGGAUUGACAGCAAUAUGUUGAGCUGCGUGAUUGUCACAGUGUAAAGGAAUGGGCAAAGAAAGAGGAAUAUCAAAUUCUUGGAAGAGAUAAAUAAUCCAUUUGAGUUCGCAAACUGUUGUGGCCAUACUUCUAUAUUCAGCUUUUUCCGAAGAACGACUAACAGUAUUUUGUUUUUUUGUCUUCCAGGAAAUCAACGAUGAACCCAGAAAGAUGCAGAAACCAGUCAAAGAUUUUCGAGUCAUUGGGCAGGCAGCCCAGUCAGCAUCGCAAAAAGCUCAAAGCUUAAAGUCAGGCUGGGCAGGAAAGAACAAACCACAAGCAGGACACCCUUUCAAAUAACGAAGAACAUGGAGCGCAGCAUCCCAGUGAGGUUUGCGAGGUGUCUGCAUAAACUGACUAAGCUACUGGGUAGAAUAAGUGAUAUCCGGCCUUGUUACUCCAAGGUAAAGUAAUCGUCCAACCAAUCUAUGAUAUCUGUCACGAUCUGGUAGCACCUCUCCUGUUUCAUUAUUCAAUUUGAGACCCUGUGGUAAAGGAAAUUCAGUAGACUUAGCUUCAAGCAAUCCUGCAUCUUUUAAUAUGUCUACCACAUAUUUCCUCUGACUAAGGAAUAAACUAGAUGAGGAAUGAGCCACUUCUAGUUCCAAGAAAUAACGAACAUGACCAAGAUCUUUGAUUGUAAAUAGUCUAUGUAAGUACUGUUUGACUUGAAUUAUAUCUUCUUCAACUUGUCCAGUGAUGAGAACAUCAUCAAUGUAUACUAAUAAAGCCA
rnacentral:misc_RNA from 1 species